rnacentral:tRNA from 1 species
GGGGUUGUGGCUCAGCGGUAGAGCGCUCAUCUAGCGUGCGUGAAGCCCUGGGUUCGAUCCUCAGCACCACA